AUUCUGACGCAGAAAUCUAAACUGGAAAACUUUAGAAGAAACACCUGGAAAAGCAGUGUAUCAACAUUCAAAAUGCAGAAACACAGGCAUAAUGAGAUGAUGAAAUUCAUUCAUGGCCAUUUUCGUCUAAAUCAAUGAUUUCUCAACCAGGUGUGAUUUUUUUCCCCCAGGGGACAUUUUGGCAAUGUCUGGAGACAUUUCUGGUUGUCAUGACUCACGAAGCAGGUGGAGUGAUACUGGCACCUAGUGUACGGAGGUCAGGGAGCUGCUAUAAACAUCCUAUCAGGCACAAGACCACUCAUCACAAAGAAUGAUCCAGCCCCAGACAUCAGUAGUGCCGUGGUGGAGGACCCCUGCUCUACAGCAUUACCUUGUUGGAGUGGUAUCUCCAAAUCUCCAGAUCCAGAUGGAGUUAGUGAUAUUGCCAUGGUUGACCUCAACUCCCAGCAGGUUCAACAUGGUGAUCUUUCCCACUGCUCACCCUAGGAUACCUCCAUUAGGUCUGGGAACUCAAUCUGUGCAGAGUCUAAACUCUAACAUGUUCCUUGCUGCUACACUGUUGAUUUUCUCAGAAGGUAAUGGCCGUGCUUUUAUUUUGAAGUGGUUCAGGCUCCUUUUAAUUAGGAAGACAUAGGUGCAUUUCUACUCAGAUAUAUGGGCCAGUUCAUUUCAUUUGAGUAGAAACAAAGUCAAAUGCUAGAUCAAGGAAAGAGCCCUCUGAUGAAGCCUCUACAGCACAUUGUGUUAACUUUUCCAUGCUAACUAAUGUUGAGAAAGGGGAAGCUUUGUAUUCUUUUUUUGCACCUUUGUCACAGAAUCACCUGUUGACCUACUUCUGGCAUUCUGCUUAAACCAUCGUGUGCUGGAGUCUAUAGAAAAUGCAGUCGAGGAGAGAGAGGACACGGGGGAAAGAGAAAAGAGAUAUUUUAUAACUUAAAGUGCAUGAGCAUAGACCCUCCCCUUUGUUAUUUACAAAUUAUACUAUGAAGCAAAAAUAUUGAGUGACGGUAACUUCAACCAAAAUUACAUUCAAGUUAAAAAAGACUUGGGAACCAUCCCUGAUUAUUUUCUCAUCCCAUUACAGUCAAGAUUUAGUAGACUACCUAAAAUACAAAGACAACCAGGACAAAAUUCUUCUCUUUGAGUUAAGGUCAGCAGAGAGAUAGGUCAUGAAACAGCUUUCUGAGACAGAAAGAAGAGAGGUGGUCAGGGACUGGGGGAGGGGGAAAUGGGGAGACAGUGCUUCAUGGGUACGGAGUCUGGGGUAAUGAAAAUGUUUCGGAAACAGAUAAUGGUGAUGGCUGCACAGCUUUGUGAAUGUGGUUAAUGCCUCUGAAUUUUACACUUAAACAUGGUUAAAAUUGCAAAUUUUAUGUUAUACAUACUUUGCUACAAUAAAAACAAUUAUCUGUGAAGUGCAGCAAUGGCUAUAGGUGAGAUAUAUGGAAAAGAUCUUGUGGGUAAACAGAAGAAAUAAUCAUUUAAAAACAAAAUUUAUUGAAUUCAUACUUUUUCUUAGACACUUUUCUAGGCAUUUGAUAAUCAGUGUCUCAGUCUGCGUCCUCCAAGAAGCAGAUGCCAAGAUGAAAUGAGGAAUUAAAUAUACUAGAUGUAUUGGGGAAACACCUCUGCAGGAUAAAGGGGAGGAAGCAGGAGCAGGCAGGAAGAGUCUCCAGCUGCAGUGCAAGUCUGACACCAGCCAUGUCAGGGGAAGGUCAUGGGCCAAGAAUGAGAGCAACCCAGUCAACCCCCAGCCUUAAGGAAAGCACCAUCCUCCCCACCCAGCUAACCUGCAGACCCAAGAGUGAGAAAUACAGGCUUAGGAGUAAUUGAUCCCGCCUGGGGGCCGUGGCAAAGACUUCACAGAGGAAGUAAUAUUUAAGCAGAGUAUUCUUAAAAAUAGUAAAAUAGUUCUUGCAUUUUUGGAAAAAAUGUUUUAUCUCUUUUUAUUGUCAAAACUUUGGAAAGUAUUAAAAGGAAAGUCAAAGAG
rnacentral:lncRNA from 1 species